rnacentral:rRNA from 1 species
GUACGACUAUCGGUCUAGGAUCACAUGACUUGCCCCUGGGACUCUUUUGAACGCAACGGACGUGAUUGCAACCCCUUGUUGAGAUUAGAGAUAGUCUCGAUAUUCACUGGCCAAACUGGCUGCUUUAUGCAGUCUUGUUGAAUGGUGGAUAAACUCGGGGGACUGCUGACUAUAACCAUUUCUCAAAACAGAGGAAGGUUGCGGCAAUAACAGGUCU